ACAGAGGGGGCAAGCGUUGUUCGGAAUUACUGGGCGUAAAGGGCGCGUAGGCGGCGCGGUAAGUCACUCGUGAAAUCUCUGAGCUUAACUCAGAACGGCCAAGUGAUACUGCAGUGCUAGAGUGUGGAAGGGGCAAUCGGAAUUCUUGGUGUAGCGGUGAAAUGCGUAGAUAUCAGGAGGAACACCGAUGGCGAAGGCAGCUCGCUGGGACGGUACUGACGCUGAGGCGCGAAAGCGUGGGGAGCAAACAGGA
rnacentral:rRNA from 1 species